rnacentral:rRNA from 1 species
GACGAACGCUGGCGGCGUGCCUAAUACAUGCAAGUAGAACGCUGAAGAGAGGAGCUUACUCUUCUUGGAUGAGUUGCGAACGGGUGAGUAACGCGUAGGUAACCUGCCUUGUAGCGGGGGAUAACUAUUGGAAACGAUAGCUAAUACCGCAUAACAAUGGAUGACACAUGUCAUUUAUUUGAAAGGGGCAAUUGCUCCACUACAAGAUGGACCUGCGUUGUAUUAGCUAGUAGGUGAGGUAAUGGCUCACCUAGGCGACGAUACAUAGCCGACCUGAGAGGGGGAUCGGCCACGCUGGGAAUGAGACAAGGCCCAGACUCCUACGGGAGGCAGCAGUAGGGAAUCUUCGGCAAUGGGGGCAACCCUGACCGAGCAACGCCGCGUGAGUGAAGAAGGUUUUCGGAUCGUAAAGCUCUGUUGUAAGUCAAGAACGGGUGUGAGAGUGGAAAGUUCACACUGUGACGGUAGCUUACCAGAAAGGGACGGCUAACUACGUG